UCUAGGUCUUAAGAUAUAAUUUAUUAUCCUCUAACUGUAAGGGUGCUGGUCAAACUAUCACAUCAAGACAAGCCGUUUCUACAUUUGUUCUGCAGUUUGCAAAAAUCCCUGAAAUACCUCUGCAAGCUCAUUCCUGCCUUCUUGCAUCAGGGCUUACAGUGCAUCUGAGAAAGGCCUGGUUCUCUGGGGUCCCUUUGGGCUCACUUGUUGCACACAGGGAGCCACCAACUGGAGGCAGCAGCUUCAGGCUGUUGGAAUGACUGCAGUGGGUCUGUCUUUGAAGUCUUACCCUGCAGUUAUCUCUCCUUGCACCGGGGAGGGCUGAAAGCGAACCCGUUGCAUGCAGCUGUCACCAUUUAAGCCAGCAGGCGUUUGAAGAUGUGCCGCCCCCCACCCCUUGUGAGGGGAGCCAGAAUAGAACAAAGUGUGGCGUUCCCAUGGAACCAUCCUAGCACUUGAUCAGUGUGGGCCAGCACCUUUCCCCCUUGAUGGAACUGGGUACGGGGGAGCAAAGAGGAGAAACGGUGGUUUGUACCUGCUCCUUGCAAAUGUCAGACCCAGCGUGAGCUGGGACAACAUCCUCCCACCUUCUCUGUCUCACUUCCAGACCUCUUUUUUUUUUCUGCGAAAAGCAAGAAGUGUCCAGAAAAGCGCUCACCCCUGCCUAGACCUCCCAAGUGUCUCCAAUGCUUUUUCCUCCUGGGUGAAUUUCUCUGAUGCUGCAAAUCCCACACAUGGAGAGCUGGCAGUUGGCUCCUGGAGAGCAAUUCUCUGUAACGACACCAAGCCCAGGGACCAGGCAUGAGCCAGGCGCUUUGGGAGCCACUUCUGCCUUCCCGAACCAGCUGCCCUGUUUGCUGAACAGCCUCUCGGCUCUGAUUUCACAAAGAAGCCAAGUGACCAGGAGCAAACUGCUCAUUUUCCAAGCAGAAGCUGACAGAAGCAGAGCUGCACUAAGCUGAGUUACAAAUCGCAAGCAAUCAGGCCUGGGUGGAAAGCUGGCAGUCUGCAGUGGAGCCCCAGGUUGUUUGUGCUGGAAGAAGAGUCAUGUGAGGCACACUGGAAAGACAGUGGAGGAAUUUCUGGUAUGAGAACUGUCUCUGGAUCUGCACAUACCAUGUGGCCACCCCCUGGGUGAUCAGGGACCUUGCAUAAAGGGGUCCAGGGCUCUCAGUCCUUGGGAAGGAUAAACAUCUCUCUGCCACCAGAAGCGGUAGCAAUUGUGGUUCUAGGGUGGAAGGUCUCGCAUCAGACACUAGGCUGAUGAUGUUGGCACGUGCCUUGCCUCUGACGCUAAGCCGCCAGUUCUCAUAGAGACCAAGGCUCCUUUUGGUUCUCCUAACUCUGGCAAGAUCAGUAAAUAGAAACAAACAAAAAAAAUCCAAAGUGUGCAACUCUUGUCUUUAUAGUGCUCCACAGGGGAUCUCACAGUGGAAGUGAUUCACAUGAACAAGCAAACUCAGUUGACUUAAGUUCUGAAAAGACAAGAUGCUGAUGGGAGCAGGUCCCGGUGUCCCUGUAGAGCAGAACACUACCAGGCCACCAGCAGUGACGCCCAUUCCCAGGUCGGUAUGUCCAUCCUUUUCCAUAGCUCUGGGAAACACAGGGGUUGGAAAACAUAGCUCUUUUGCCACAAGGCCUGUCAAAACUCACCAUGAAGAAAACAACAGCAGCAGCAGCAACAACCCCCCCCCCCAAAAAAAGCCUUCAGAAUUAGGAUGUAUUGCCUUGGUAUGGGUUACUGCUGCUGCGAUGAAACACCAGGAACAAAACAAAAUCAAAACACCAAAACAACAAUAACAACAACAACUGAGGGAGGAAGGUGUUUCUUGGGCUUACACUUCCAUGUCACUGUUCAUCAUAGAAAGGGGUCAGGAUGGGAACUCAAACAGGGAAGAACCCAGGAGGCAGGAGCUGAAGCAGAGGCCACGGAGGGAUGCUGCUUACUGUCUUGCUCAUCACAGUUUGCUCAGCAUGUUUUCUUAUAGAACCCAGGACCACCAACGCAGGGAUGACACUACCCACAAUGGGCCCUUCUCCAAUCACUUACUAAUUAAGAAAAUGCCCUACAGGCUUGCCUACAGCCAUAUCUUUUGGAGGUAUUUUCUCAAUUGAGAUUCCCUCUUCUCCAAAGACGAGCUUGUGUCAAGCUGACAUAAAACUGUCCAGCUCAAGUACCUUGAGUAUGAGAAGCAUCCAGAAGAAAUACUGGUGUUUGCAAGUCGAUCCAGAUUGCCGUAGGAGGUUGAGAUGGUUGCAGGUUUGCUUCUUGGGGAACAUGAUAGUAGCACUGUGUACUGCUCUUACAGUGUAUACUAUUUAUGGGUAUGGUAAUCUGUGGCAUCCUUCAUGGCUUUCCAUUUCAAACUUCUCAGUCAAGCACUUGAGUUCCAUUAGUGACGUCGGAACCAGUAGCAGAGAGUUCAGACUGGGCCAAGUCGGAGGUUGGAAUUUUUGCUUCUCCACUUAACAAAUGUUACUUAUCUCUCAGCGAUAUUGUAGUCCGACCCCUAAAAGUGAGACAUCUAUAUUUCACAGAAAGCCAGUAAGAUAAACUAGGUGAAGCUUCUAAAGUAGGUGUCUAACUUCAAGCCAACAUGUACAAUGAUCAACCCCAAAAUAGAAUCUGUUUGCUUUUGCCCUUUUCACCGAUAUCCAGGAUCAAUUAAGAAAAUGUGAUGAAAUAUGUUUUUAAAAAUUAAUUAUUAGAGCCCUGAAUCCAUACUAUAAUAAGCUAGAUCAAUCAGAGAGGAAAGGAACAGGCAAUAGGCAUAAAGCCGUACGAUAGCUUGGGAGGGGUCAUCAGUGCCUGGAGCAGGGACUGAACCUCUGGAAGACACCUAGGGAGAUGGUUUUCCUUAGGAAAAAAAUCACUGUGCAAUUUGGAGACUGUUUAUGGAAAGCUAUCCUGUCGCUUGAGGGUCCUUGGGUAGAGAUAAAAUAAAGGGUAGCGAGGGUCCUUGGGUAGAGAUAAAAUAAAGGGUAGCCAGACACUAAACCCCAGAGAAGUGAGGUAUAAGGAGGGACUUAUGCAUAGGAGGAAACCAAGCAAGAAACCUAGUUAUCGGAGAAUUUGGAGUCGUUCAAGGUAGAGCAGUGCACAUGUGGGACUCCCAGGUUAAGUCACACGUAUACACCUGUGAGAGGAAGACAAUUUAGUUUUGCUACAAUACAUAAGACAAGAAUUGAAGGCUCUCCUUGACUCAGAAGAAGUCAUCAUUGUGAUGCCCGUGCAUCUGAGGUGGUGUCGCGAGCAUACUAGAUCCAGACAGAGGGAGUUUGUGGAUAGGCGAGCAACUGUGGGGAGAGAGGACAAGCUGAACGAGCCAGGAAAGCAUUAAAAAAUGGCAUAACUUCAGUCUGAAAACAAGAAACUGGGAUACAGAGCACGUGUGAAAGGAAAUACUUCAAUCCAGGCUCACGGGUGCACAACAGAUAGACUUUGGCUGCCUUACUCAACAUGGGAAUCUGCUGCAAGGCUACCAGGUGACUUGUAGGAUCACCAUAGGACAAGAGAAGGCACAGGCGAGCUAAGGGAGGCUGCAGCAGAGAGCAGAGCUGUGGUCACAGCAGAAGAACCAGCUAGCCAGUGCCUUCCCCGGCAUAUCCUCAACUGCAUACUUGUGGUCGCUGCUGCACCCUUCCCUGCAUCCAUGAACAGCCCUGGACUGUGACUCUUUUCUCCACAUUAAAAAUCCAACUCAGAGCUUCCAAUUGGCGAUGUGAGCACGUACUGGCUGUCAGGAAGGGAGCAGAGGGACUGCCCACACCACAGGCUCCCACGAGAAAAAGCAGGACCCUGAGGCCCUCCUCAAAGCCACUCAGGGAACCCAGUCCACCAGAAGAUGAUCAGUGCCUCAGGCAGGCAGGAGAACCAAGAGGUAAAACAGGCAGAGUGCAUCACAGGGCAGCCAGACGGGGCUCCCCAAGGAAGUCUUUAAGAUGUAGGAGAAAGAUCCAUGUUUACACACAGCUGGUAAACAGAUCUUCAUUUAAUCUCAGAAAUGUGGAUAGUUUGGGCUGGAAGACAGCUCAGUAGGUAAAGCGCUUGCCUCGCAAGCAUGAGAGCCUGAGUUUGAUCCUCAGAACCCACAUUAAAAAAAUAAAUAAGUAAAGAUGGAAAGUUGAGGUUUGUGGUGAAUACUUGUGUUUUUAGUGCUGGGGAGGCGGAGGCAGACAUCUGUCGGGCUUGCUGGCAGGAGUGAUUGUUGAGUUCCAGGCCAAUAAGAGAUCCUGUCUUUAAAAUAAACAUAGA
rnacentral:lncRNA from 1 species